rnacentral:rRNA from 1 species
GAAUAUUGGACAAUGGGGGGAACCCUGAUCCAGCCAUGCCGCGUGUGUGAAGAAGGCCUUUUGGUUGUAAAGCACUUUCAGCGAGGAGGCGGAGCUCUUGGUUAAUACCCAAGAUGCUUGGACGUUACUCGCAGACUAAGCACCUGCUAACUCUGUGCCACCAGCCGCUGUAAUACAAAGGGUGCAACCGUUAAUCGGAGUUACUGUGCGUCAGGCGCGCGUAGUUGGCCGAUUAAGUCAAAUGUGAAAUCCCCGAGCUUAACUUGGGAAUUGCAUUCGAUACUGGUUGUCUAGAGUAUGGGAGAGGAUGGUAGAAUUCCAGGUGUAGCGGUGAAAUGCGUAGAGAUCUGGAGGAAUACCGAUGGCGAAGGCAGCCAUCUGGCCUAAUACUGACACUGAGGUGCGAAAGCAUGGGGAGCAAACA